ACGUCCGCCCACUGUCUAGGUGCCUACCGCAAAACGUCUUUUGCUGGGUAGGUUAAAAGGGAAGUGUGGUAAGGAUAAAACCGAAUCCACCGCUGCCCCCGCAACGGUAUACAGCAACGCUGAUAGUCCGACACCUGCCUAGAACGAUGAUAUUCA
rnacentral:ncRNA from 2 species